rnacentral:rRNA from 1 species
GAUGAACGCUGGCGGCGUGCCUAAUACAUGCAAGUCGAGCGAACAGACGAGGAGCUUGCUCCUCUGACGUUAGCGGCGGACGGGUGAGUAACACGUGGAUAACCUACCUAUAAGACUGGGAUAACUUCGGGAAACCGGAGCUAAUACCGGAUAAUAUAUUGAACCGCAUGGUUCAAUAGUGAAAGACGGUUUUGCUGUCACUUAUAGAUGGAUCCGCGCCGCAUUAGCUAGUUGGUAAGGUAACGGCUUACCAAGGCAACGAUGCGUAGCCGACCUGAGAGGGUGAUCGGCCACACUGGAACGGAGACACGGUCCAGACUCCUACGGGAGGCAGCAGUAGGGAAUCUUCCGCAAUGGGCGAAAGCUUGGCGGAGCAACGCCGCGUGAGUGAUGAAGGUCUUCGGAUCGUAAAACUCUGUUAUGAGGGAAGAACAAAUGUGUAAGUAACUAUGCACGUCUUGACGGUACCUAAUCAGAAAGCCACGGCUAACUACGUG